AAACCAUAUUGGGGACAAUUUCUGAGCAAUUCCAGGAAUCUCUCCUAGGCAUCGUGAAUAGUCUCAUCCCCCAUCUGAGCAAAGUGUGAAAUUUUUGCUAUGAUCUU